UACGGGGGGGGGCAAGCGUUGUUCGGAAUUACUGGGCGUAAAGGGCUCGUAGGUGGCCAACUAAGUCAGACGUGAAAUCCCACGGCUUAACCGUGGAACUGCGUCUGAUACUGUCGGGCUCGAGUCCGGAAGAGGAGUGUGGAAUUCCUGGUGUAGCGGUGAAAUGCGCAGAUAUCAGGAGGAACACCAAUGGCGAAGGCAGCACUCUGGGACGUGACUGACGCUGAGACGCGAAAGCGUGGGGAGCAAACAGG
rnacentral:rRNA from 1 species